UACAGAGGUCCCAAGCGUUGUUCGGAUUCACUGGGCGUAAAGGGUGCGUAGGCGGUCGGUUAAGUCUGAUGUGAAAUCUCCGGGCCCAACCCGGAAACUGCAUCGGAAACUAAUCGGCUAGAUGAUUGGAGGGGGGACUGGAAUUCUCGGUGUAGCAGUGAAAUGCGUAGAUAUCGAGAGGAACACCAGUGGCGAAGGCGAGUCCCUGGACAAUUCCUGACGCUGAGGCACGAAAGCUAGGGGAGCAAACAGG
rnacentral:rRNA from 1 species